GUCUACGGCCAUGCCACCCUGAACGUGCCCGAUCCCAUCUGAUCUUGGAAGCUAAGCAGGGUCGGGCCUGGUUAAUACUUGGAUGGGAGACCACCUAGGAAGACCAAGUGCUGUAGGCG
rnacentral:rRNA from 1 species